CUGAGCUCACUUGCCGGCUUCUCCUCUGGAGGAGGGAUCCGGGAAGUAACUCAAUCCAGUCCUAGGCGGGCACAGCAAAGCAUAAUGGCAAGUCACAGAUUCAGACAUUCCUGGUCAAGCUGCUCUCCUUGGCAGCUCUCUCCUAAAGUGGCAACUCAGCAUCCAGGCUCCUUCUAUCCUGUGGCUCCACCAUCCCCUAGGCCCUCCUUGUCACCUCUCCUGGAUCCUCUGCAUUCAGCCAAAUGGCAGUCAAAGAAAGAGAUGAAAUGCCCUGUACCUGGAACAUAACCACCUCAGCCCAGAGGUGACACACAUCCCUUCUGCUUAAGAUCUCUUGAUGAGAACUAGUAGCAUGGUCCCUCUCACAUGUGCCGGAAGCUGAGAUGGGUUCUCAGGCUGGAAAGUUGCUUGCUAGCAGUAAUUCCAUCUCAGAAGGGAACAAGAAUUUUUGGUGUAGUUGGCUCUGACGAAACAGUACUUUGGAACAAUUAAGCAUGAAAAGUUCUGCCAUGAGAGACAGAGAAAGCAAAAGAAAUAUUGUCUUAUAAAUACUAUAUUCUGUAAAAUCUGGAAAAACAACCUGUUCCUGGGGAGAUUUGUCUAGAAUGAUCAACUGUACCCCCAAGGAUCCUCUGUAACCCUGCCAGGAUCUCCAUAGAGUUGCUCCCCUGGGUUACCAGGAAGUUGGAGCUAGAACCCAAGGGUACAAAUACAGAUGAGUGGGAGCAAGGGUGCCUGCCGACCAAGUGCCCUUCAAGACUGGCUCUCUUCAGACUGAAAGGAAGUCUUACUUGAUGGGAAAGGCAAAGAACCCCUCUCUGUCAUUCUUUGGAAACAAGACUGUCUUCUUUCAAGUAAAAAUUCUGUCCCUUCUCACACUUCCAGGCACAACAAGGUAUAAUGGCAGGUCACACAUACAAGUAAGCUCCCUGUGUCAGAAUUUCUGAGCUGAGAAAAAUGGAUGACUGACUGAAACCUUUGAUAUGAAAGGAAGAAGCGGUCUGAGGAAUCAGCUUGAGAGAAAAAGGAAGCCCUGACUUCCUCUGCAUGCCUUCACUGGUCCAGAAAGAAAUGGGUUUGGAGCCACUGAUAUCUACAUCUCUUCCUUUAAAAUAUGAGACCUAAACAUCAAAGGGUUCUCUGGUCUGAGGCAUGGGUUUGCACAUAGAGGUGAUGACUUAUCAAUAAUAUAUUUUAAAUUGAGUGCCAAUUAGGCUACAGGAAAUAAUAUAAUUAAAAUUUAGAGACAGCUCUAAAACUUGAUUGAAGACCUGGAACAGUCGGUUUGAAGUGAAGUGAAUAAUGCUUCACUCUUUUGCCAAAACACAGAUAUAAAUAUUACCCAAGCCUAAAAUCCUGCCCAAUCAGCUGCUUGUAUGGAGCUAUGGGAGAGAUGGAGGGGAAGAGGGGGAAGAGUUUGUUAGAAGGCUACAGAUAAGCCUUAUGCAAUGAACCAACUAACAAUGUGGGAAAUGGGCCUCCUAGAAAAGGUGGAUCCUAUGGAGUGAACUCUCUCCCUUCCCUGGAGCUACCAAGGAGAGGAAAAAAAGAGGGAAGGGCUAAACAGAUAUUGAUGUCACAGCAUCAUCACCCUUGAUGCUGACCACUAAACACUAACCUGUGGCUCCUAAAUUCUUUCUGCACAACUAUAAGACUAAUCCAAAAACCUAGGUGGGGGACUGGCCUGUAAGUAGGGGCUGAGUAGCUCUAGCUAUAAAGGAUUUACAAGUAGGGACUGGGUACACAUUACAUUAUCAUCAUCAGAGAAUGCAGUAUGAAGCAUCCUGUAUGGUUAGUGGAGUUUGAAUUAAGAUUAAAAAGGAUGUAAUUCUUAAUUCACAACUAAGAAAUUGACAUUGGGACAAUCCACAGAGGUCAUUCACAUUUCACCAGUUUUACAUGCACUCAUGUAUGUGUGUGUGUAGUGAUGUUCAGUUUUAUUGCAUGUGAGGCCAGGUGGUGGCUCAUGCCUAUAGUCCCAGCACUUUGGGAAGCUGAAGCAGGUGGAUCACUUGAGGCCAGCCUGGCCAACAUGGUGAAACCCCGUCUCUACUAAAAAUACAAAAAUUAGCUGGCUGAGGCACAAGAAUCACUUGAACCCAGGAAGUGGAGUGAGCCAAAAUCACGCCACUGCACUUCAUCCUGGGUGACAGAGCGAGACUCUGUCUCAAAAAAAAAAUUGCAUAUGUAAAUUGACGUGAUCACGAAUAUAAUCAAGAUACAGAACUGCUCCACCACCAUAAGGCUCUGUUAUUGCCCUUUAUAGCCAUCCCUACCCCAUCCCCCAUCUCUAACCCGUGGCAACCACUAAUCUGUUCUCCAUCUCUAUAAUUUUAUUUCAAGAAUAUUGUGUAAAUGGAAUCAUAUAGUAUGUGACCUUUUGAGAUUGGCCUUUUUCACUCAACAUAAUUUUUUUGAGAUCCAUCCAAGUUGUUGCAUGUAUCAAUUGUUUGUUCCUUUUUAUUGCUAUGUAGUACCCCAUGGUGUGGAUAUACUACAGUUUGUCCAUUCGUCUGCUGAAGAACAUUUUGGUUGUUUCCAGUUUGGGUCAUUUACAAAUAAAGCUACACUUAACAACAACAAUAACAAAAGGAUAUACUUCUUGUCUUCUAAACCAAUGAUUCAAACUUAGUGCAAAUAAGAAUCAUCUUGGGUAUGGGGAGGAGAAUGUAUUGAAAAGCUAAUUCCCAGGGCCCCAGCUAGAAAAGUACUCUGGGAUUGGACCAGAUGUCUGAAUUUCUAGUAAGCAUGACUAGGUAAUUCUCAAAUACAUGCUAGGGACAUAGUUGAAAACAACUACGGGCUAAGAGGCUAC
rnacentral:lncRNA from 1 species